rnacentral:lncRNA from 1 species
GAAUAUUAUGCUAAUAUAAAUAUCUUUCACAAUUUAAUCAAAUGAUAUAUUUUUUAUAUAUCCAUACCAACAUAUAAACAAUUAUUAAUCUUGACUAUUUUCUUUUAAUAGGCCAAAGUAAACUUUUAUUAAAAGUAACAAAAUGAUUAUAAAUAUCCAACUACAAUUAAGAGUAUAAUUGAGUACAUAAAGAAUGUAAGCCCAAAAGAAAUUGUACCAACAUUACGUAAGGAAUCCAAAAGCAUAGAUAACAACAUUCCUAACACUCAAAAGAACAUAUUAACCAAUAAUAAAAACCUUGAUUAUUUAAAACUGAAUUUUACUUUUUUGAUCAAACAAAAA